rnacentral:rRNA from 1 species
CCUACGGGCGGCAGCAGUAGGGAAUCUUCCACAAUGGGCGAAAGCCUGAUGGAGCAACGCCGCGUGGGUGAAGAAGGUCUUCGGAUCGUAAAACCCUGUUGUUAGAGAAGAAAGUGCGGGAGAGUAACUGUUCACGUUUCGACGGUAUCUAACCAGAAAGCCACGGCUAACUACGUGCCAGCAGCCGCGGUAAUACGUAGGUGGCAAGCGUUAUCCGGAUUUGUUGGGCGUAAAGGGAACGCAGGCGGUCUUUUAAGUCUGAUGUGAAAGCCUUCGGCUUAACCGGAGUAGUGCAUUGGAAACUGGGAGACUUGAGUGCAGAAGAGGAGAGUGGAACUCCAGGUGUAGCGGUGAAAUGCGUAGAUAUAUGGAAGAACACCAGUGGCGAAAGCGGCUCUCUGGUCUGUAACUGACGCUGAGGUUCGAAAGCGUGGGUAGCAAACAGGAUUAGAUACCCUGGUAGUC